rnacentral:SRP_RNA from 1 species
GCCGAGCUCUGUAGCGAGAGCAUGUAACCCGAGCGGGGGCAUCAAGGUGGUCGAACAUUGGAUCAAUUCCAACAAGCAGGGUCAGGCGGAGUAAUUUGCCGGUACGCCCGUUCCAAGAAGGGAGUUGAGCCAUGGGACUUGAGCGAAGGCUGGGGCCUCUUGGUUCUUAGAGCGGAGGGUACUGCGUCAGGCUGGUUUCACAGAGCAGCGACAAACCUCCCUCUCCCAUCGGUGGAAGGAUUACGAAUCGGUGCUCCCCUCAUCCAUCAUUGUCCAUCGAGUUGAGCCCAAUCGGACGACCACCUUU